rnacentral:rRNA from 1 species
GUGCCAGCCGCCGCGGUAAGACGGAGGGGGCGAGCGUUGUUCGGAAUUACUGGGCGUAAAGAGCACGUAGGCGGCGCGGUAAGUCCCGUGUGAAAGCCCUCGGCUCAACCGAGGAAGUGCACGGGAAACUGUCGCGCUUGAGUGCGGGAGAGGAGAGUGGAAUUCCCGGUGUAGCGGUGAAAUGCGUAGAUAUCGGGAAGAACACCGGUGGCGAAGGCGGCUCUCUGGACCGCAACUGACGCUGAGGUGCGAAAGCUGGGGGAGCAAACGGGAUUAGAUACCCCGGUAGUCCCAGCCGUAAACGAUGGGCACUAGGUGUGGGCGGUGUCGACCCCGCCCGUGCCGAAGCUAACGCGUUAAGUGCCCCGCCUGGGGAGUACGGUCGCAAGGCUGAAACUCAAAUGAAUUGACGGGG